GUGCCAUGAUGAGGGUAGUCCCUGUUAUACUCCUUGAACCUUUUCCAUGACCUCAUACAUAGGCUAAGAAGGGUUCUGCUGGAAAUUAAUGAUAUUACUCUUGAGGGU
rfam:Brassica napus, WGS project CCCW01000000 data, contig: 14627